GAUGAACGCUGGCGGCGUGCCUAAUACAUGCAAGUCGAGCGAAGCGGGGACGGGUGAGUAACACGUGGAUAACCUCCUAUAAGACUGGGAUAACUUCGGGAAACCGGAGCUAAACCGGAUACUUAUAGAUGGAUCCGCGCUGCAUUAGCUAGUUGGUAAGGUAACGGCUUACCAAGGAAACGAUGCAUAGCCGACAUGAGAGGGUGAUCGGCGACACUGGAACCGAGACUCGGGCCAGACGCCUACGGAAGGCAACAGUAGGGAAACUGCCGCAGUGAGCAAAAGCCGGACGGGGCAGCAGGGGGUGCGUGAUGAGGGUCUUCGGAACGUAGAACUCUGAUAAUAGGGAAGCGGUACCUAAUCAGAAAGCCACGGCUAACUACGUGCCAGCAGCCGGGGUAAUAC
rnacentral:rRNA from 1 species